CACAUGCAGUCGAGGGGCAGCGGGAGGAGUGCUUGCACUUCUUGCCGGCGACCGGCGCACGGGUGAGUAACACGUAUGCAACCUGCCUCCGUCAGGGGGACAACCCGGCGAAAGCCGGGCUAAUCCCGCGUAUAUUCCGUGAGGGCAUCCUUACGGAAGGAAAGGCUUCGGCCGGACGGGGAUGGGCAUGCGGCGCAUUAGGUAGUCGGGGGUGUAACGGACCACCGAGCCGACGAUGCGUAGGGGUUCUGAGAGGAAGGUCCCCCACACUGGUACUGAGACACGGACCAGACUCCUACGGGAGGCAGCAGUGAGGAAUAUUGGUCAAUGGUCGGAAGACUGAACCAGCCAAGCCGCGUGAAGGAAGAAGGUGCUCGGCAUCGUAAACUUCUUUUGUCAGGGAACAAAGGGCGGUACGUGUACCGCUGUGAGUGUACCUGAAGAAAAAGCAUCGGCUAACUCCGUGCCAGCAGCCGCGGUAAUACGGAGGAUGCGAGCGUUAUCCGGAUUUAUUGGGUUUAAAGGGUGCGCAGGCGGCGCGGUAAGUCAGCGGUAAAAGCCCGGGGCUCAACCCCGGCGAGCCGUUGAAACUGCCGUGCUAGAGUAAGGUCGAGGUAUGCGGAAUGCGCGGUGUAGCGGUGAAAUGCAUAGAUAUCGCGCAGAACUCCGAUUGCGAAGGCAGCAUACCGGUCCUUUACUGACGCUCAGGCACGAAAGCGUGGGGAUCAAACAGGCUUAGAUACCCUGGUAGUCCACGCAGUAAACGAUGAAUACUGGGUGUUCGGAAUGUAGAUUCUGAGUGCCGAAGCGAAAGCGUUAAGUAUUCCACCUGGGGAGUACGCCGGCAACGGUGAAACUCAAAGGAAUUGACGGGGGG
rnacentral:rRNA from 1 species